rnacentral:rRNA from 1 species
AUGAUCCCUGCAAGCAUUGGGAACAUGACGUACCUGAGCACCCUCGCCCUUCAGCACAACCAGUUCGAUGGCGGAAUUCCGGCGCAGCUGGGCAACACUUCGCGGCUCAUUUCGUUCAAUGUCGCCGACAAGUCACUAUCAGGUCCUGUCGCAGACUCUCUGCAGCGCUUCCCACAAGCCAACUUCACGGGCUAUCCGGGGCUCCGCGGGGUGCCACUGGACAACAGGUGCAAGAAGAGGUUUAUGGUGCGGAUACAUGUUCGGCUUGUCCUGAUCCGGGAGAUGUUCGUCCGGAUUCGGAAGCUAUUGCACAGGAUCAACGACGCGUCCAUCAUCGGGGCGUCGGCUGGGUUCAUCUUUCGGUUCGUGGUGGCCUUCUAG